rnacentral:lncRNA from 1 species
GCCGGACUCUGCAUGAGUCACCGCCUGCCUGCAAGCCCAGAGCUCGCCGCACCCCCCUGCCUCUCCGCACCGUCCCACAGGCUGUGACCCUCCACCCAGCCAUAGACGGUUCUGCUCUUGGCACAAAGGAGGGCUUCUUAGCCGGGAAUAUGGCUGCCCGGGAGGGGCGACUUCUGUGCUUGUUUUUCCUUCCUGGCACUGAAAACAAGCACAUCCACCCAACAAAUAAAGACGCGGUCAAUGAAAGCAGCUGUGUUUCAAGGGGAGACAGGGAGCAAGCCAAGGAAUAAAUGAAAAGACCCAGUGACAAAAUGCCCAUUCAUCGGGUUCACUCGGCAAACAUUUACUGAAGCAUCUGUGUGCCAGGCACUGUCCUGAGUGCUGGGAAGACACAAAGAUGCCCUUCAGAACGAUGACCCCCGCCUCGCCCUCCGCUGGAACCGGGAGGCAGACACACACAUAAAUACGACACAGUCAACCGUCCCCAGUUCACAGCAUCUAAAGGAGCUAGGAAUGCAUGGGAUGCUUAUGGAAUGUGCGAGAACACGGAGAAAAGAGGAAGGUAUGGAAAAGAGUGAAAUUGGCAUAAAAAAUCCAAUAAAGGGCAACGAGCAGGAAACAACAAAAACAUGGGAAACUGCCGACCUGAGGAAUCGCGCUCUUCUAACUUUACAGCUUCACCUGCCGUGUUUGCUCCUGGAGGACUGAGACUUUUGUCUGAUUCGUCUGCUGCUGUCUUCCCGAUGCCUAGAACACUGCCUGAUGCACGGGAAGUAUUUGUCAGAUACAUCCCAUGGCUUCUAAUGCCAUUUGCAAGGAUGAAAGCUGGGUGUGCCCGGCUGUACGGCAAUACUUCCAAAGGCCUGUAGGACUCCCCAGUGACUGUCCCAUUCACCAGGAGGAGGACUGCAGUCACCUGCAUUGUCCUGGGAAGGUCAGCCAGGCCUUUUCCCAAUGUCUGUCUGGGAAAAGCCCCGGUGUAGUCUGCUCGGUCCUACACCCAGAAUCACGGGGGCUUCAGGAGCAGGCAUUACGAGGCAAGGAGUAGCUUCUCCCCCUCACCUCCCACUCAGCAGAACGCACUAGCCCUGUGCUCUUCUGAUCCUGAAGGCAGCUGAGUCUGAAAAGUUCCUGUACCUUUAAAGGUACUAGAGGCAGUGUGGUGCCCACUCAGGAACUGCAUGAUUUAAAUAGGUUUCUAGGAUAAAGGCAACUCGUAGCACAAAGGAACAAGUCCCAGGGAGUGGCAUUCCAGAUCAUUUGAUUCCUGAGCGAAGGAAUUAUUAUGGUGUGGAGGUGGGGACCUCCUUACUACAUUCCAAAUUGCAAUAAGGUUGUAAGGGUUUUCUCUUCCAUUCUGAAGUACUUUGACAAUAGUUUUGAACUUCAAAAAUGUUUAUUAAAGGUGUUUUCACAGCAGUUUCAUAAUGUUUAAUUUGUUAAUUACUGGAAUUGAUGCUAAAUAAAACAGGCAAGUAAUACUUCAGAUGGCUUCAUCUUCAGAGUCUUCUUCAUGUGUGACUCAAAAUGCACAAUUUUGGCCGGGCACAGUGGCUCACGCCUGUAAUCCCAGCACUUUGGGAGGCUGAGACAGGCGGAUCACCUGAGGUCAGGAGUUUGAGACCAGUUUGGCCAACAUGGUGAAACCCCAUCUCUACUAAAAAUACAAAAAUUAGAUGGGCAUGGUGGUGUGUGCCUGUAAUCCCAGCUGCUUGGGAAGCUGAGGCAGGAGAAUUGAUUGAACCCAAGAGGCGGGGCUUGCAGUGAGCCGAGAUCCCGCUCCAGCCUGGGCAACAAGAGCGAGACUCCGUCUCAAAAAAAGAAAAAAAAAGCACAAUUUCAGGACAGCCUAAGCAAAUAAAAAAUGGGAAAUGGAAAUGGAUUCGAAGCAGGGAGGACGUUCCGCCCACUGUCACACCGAAGGAAUGGUGGAGGCUGUGAGUCCUCCGCCCACUGUCACACCGAAGGAUGGUGGAGGCUGUGAGUCCUCCUGUAAGCCGCCGCUGGAGAAGGGGCAGCUCUGGAACCUGACGACAUUCUCCUAUCUUGCAUGAGGUGGAGACAAAGAGUCCUUCUGCGCUGGGACAGGAUGAGGGCGAAGUGGUGACUUCAGGUCAGAAGCAGAGCCUUGGGGACCUCUGAUUCUCAAGGGCGAGCUCCCUCCAGAACCCCAAGAGAUGGCCCUGACUGCAUGGGAAAGCGUGUCUCACCAUUGCAAUGUUCUCUAAGUCUGGAGGAGGCGGAGCCCAGUGAGAAUGACAGGCAGACCGCAAGGAGGCCCGGAAGCCCCCCAUGGCGAGGAUGCAUCCAAGUGUAUUCUGUAGGAGUGACCAGUGGCCACGUGGGUAGUGGGCAGAGCUUGUUUUCCUCCAAUAUCAGCGUACAGAGCAGGGGAGCCUGGUGAAGGUUUCUCUCUGAAAUCAUGGAUUCAGCUGUAUUAGUUUCUAUCCAAGGCUGGCAUAGCUCACCUUCCACUCCAGCAAUGACCUCGGGCCAGCUGUCACGAGCCUUCUCACCACGAGGAUGGUCUGGGGUGGUGAGAUCUCACUGUUGGCCAUAAUUCAUUCAACAUUUCUUCACUUCUCUGCUUAAUUUUGGUCGAAUGUCAUGC